GGGGAUUCUAGAAGAGAAAAAAUGUGAUUUUCAGGUAAAAUGGGGGAUUUUCAAUAAGAAAACGCGUGAUUUUCGCUCAAAUGGGGGAUUUGCGAAGAGAAAACGCGUGAUUUUAGAGUAAAAUGGGGGAUUCUCGAAGAGAAAACGCGUGAUUUUUGGGAUAAAUGGGGGAUUUGCGAAGAGAAAACACGUGAUUUUUGAGUUAAAUGGGGGAUUCUCGAAGAGAAAACGCGUGAUUUUUGGGUUAAAUGGGGGAUUUGCAAAGAGAAAACGCGUGAUUUUCGCUUAAAUGGGGGAUUUGCGAAGAGAAAACGCGUGAUUUUCGCUUAAAUGGGGGAUUCUCAAAGAGAAAACGCGUGAUUUUCGGGUUAAAUGGGGGAUUUGCGAAGAGAAAACGCGUGAUUUUUGCUUAAAUGGGGGAUUUGUGAAGAGAAAACGCGUGAUUUUCGCUUAAAUGGGGGAUUUGCGAAGAGAAAACGCGUGAUUUUCGCUUAAAUGGGGGAUUUGCGAAGAGAAAACGCGUGAUUUUCGGUUAAAUGGGGGAUUUGCGAAGAGAAAACACGUGAUUUUUGCUUAAAUGGGGGAUUUGCGAAGAGAAAACUUGUGUUUUUCGGGUUCAAUGGGGGAUUCUCGAAGAGAAAACGCGUGAUUUUCGGGUUAAAUGGGGGAUUUGCGAAGAGAAAACGCGUGAUUUUCACUUAAAUGGGGGAUUCUCGAAGAGAAAACGCGUGAUUUUUGGUUAAAUGGGGGAUUUGCGAAGAGAAAACGCGUGAUUUUCGCUUAAAUGGGGGAUUUGCGAAGAGAAAACGUGUGAUUUUCGCUUAAAUGGGGGAUUCUCGAGGAGAAAAUGCGUGAUUUUUGGUUAAAAUGGGGAUUUGCGAAGAGAAAACGCGUGAUUUUCGGGUUAAAUGGGGGAUUUGCGAAGAGAAAACGCGUGAUUUUUGCAUAAAUGGGGGAUUUGCGAAGAGAAAACACGUGAUUUUCGGGUUAAAUGGGGGAUUUGCGAAGAGAAAACGCGUGGAUUUUUGCUUAAAUGGGGGAUUUGCAACGAGAAAACGCGUGAUUUUCGCUUAAAUGGGGGAUUCUCCGAAGAGAAAACGCGUGAUUUUCGCUUAAAUGGGGGAUUUGCAAAGAGAAAACGUGUGAUUUUCGCUUAAAUGGGGAAUUUGCGAAGAGAAAACGCGUGAUUUUCGCUUAAAUGGGGGAUUUGCGAAGAGAAAACGCGUGAUUUUCGGGUUAAAAUGGGGGAUUUUCAAAGAGAAAACGCGUGAUUUUCGGGUUAAAUGGGGGAUUUGCGAAGAGAAAACGCGUGAUUUUUGCUUAAAUGGGGGAUUUGCGAAGAGAAAACGCGUGAUUUUCGCUUAAAUGGGGGAUUCUCAAAGAGAAAACGCGUGAUUUUCGGGUUAAAUGGGGGAUUUGCGAAGAGAAAACACGUGAUUUUUGCUUAAAUGGGGGAUUUGCGAAGAGAAAACGCGUGAUUUUCGGGUUAAAUGGGGGAUUUGCGAAGAGAAAACGCGUGAUUUUUGCUUAAAUGGGGGAUUUGCGAAGAGAAAACGCGUGAUUUUUGGGUUAAAUGGGGGAUUUGCGAAGAGAAAACGCGUGAUUUUCGGGUUAAAUGGGGGAUUUGCAAAGAGAAAACGCGUGAUUUUCGGUUAAAUGGGGGAUUUGCGAAGAGAAAACGCGUGAUUUUCGCUUAAAUGGGGGAUUUGCGAAGAGAAAACGCGUGAUUUUCGGCUUAAAUGGGGGAUUCUCGAAGAGAAAACGCGUGAUUUUCGGCUUAAAUGGGGGAUUCUCGAAGAGAAAACGCGUGAUUUUCGGUUAAAUGGGGGAUUCUCGAAGAGAAAACGCGUGAUUUUCGCUUAAAUGGGGGAUUUGCGAAGAGAAAACGCGUGAUUUUCGCUUAAAUGGGGGAUUCUCGAAGAGAAAACGCGUGAUUUUUGCUUAAAUGGGGGAUUUGCGAAGAGAAAACGCGUGAUUUUCGGCUUAAAUGGGGGAUUCUCGAAGAGAAAACGCGUGAUUUUCGCUUAAAUGGGGGAUUUGCGAAGAGAAAACGCGUGAUUUUCGCUUAAAUGGGGGAUUUGCGAAGAGAAAACGCGUGAUUUUCGGCUUAAAUGGGGGAUUCUCGAAGAGAAAACACGUGAUUUUUGGUUAAAUGGGGGAUUUGCAAAGAGAAAACGCUUGAUUUUUGCUCAAAUGGGGGAUUUGCGAAGAGAAAACGCGUGAUUUUCGGGAUAAAUGGGGGAUUUGCAAAGAGAAAACGCGUGAUUUUCCGGUUAAAUGGGGGAUUUGCGAAGAGAAAACGCGUGAUUUUUGGGUUAAAAUGGGGGAUUCUCGAAGAGAAAACGCGUGAUUUUUGGUUAAAUGGGGGAUUCUCGAAGAGAAAACGCGUGAUUUUUGCUUAAAUGGGGGAUUUGCGAAGAGAAAACGCGUGAUUUUCGGGUUAAAUGGGGGAUUUUCAAAGAGAAAACGCGUGAUUUUCGUUUAAAUGGGGGAUUUGCGAAGAGAAAGCGCGUGAUUUUCGGGUUAAAUGGGGGAUUUGCGAAGAGAAAACGCAUUAUUUUCGGGUUAAAUGGGGGAUUUGCGAAGAGAAAACGCGAGAUUUUCGCUUAAAUGGGGGAUGUGCGAAGAGAAAACGCGAGAUUUUCGCUUAAAUGGGGAUGUGCGAAGAGAAAACGUGUGAUUUUCGCUUAAAUGGGGGAUUCUCGUGGAGAAAAUGCAUGAUUUUCGCUUAAAUGGGGGAUUUGCGAUGAGAAAACGCGUGGUUUUCGCUUAAAUGCGGGAUUCGCGAAGAGAAAACGCGUGAUUUUUGCUUAAAUGGGGGAUUUGCGAAGAGAAAACGCGUGGUUUUCGGGUUAAAUGGGGGAUUUCUGAAGAGAAAACGCGUGAUUUUCGGGUUAAAUGGGGGAUUCUCGAAGAGAAAACACGUGAUUUUUAGUUAAAUGGGGUAUUAGCGAAGAGAAAAACUGCGUGAUUUUCGCUUAAAUGGGGGAUUUGCGAAGAGAAAAUACGUGAUUUUCGGUUAAAUGGGGAAUUUGUGAAGAGAAACGCGUGAUUUUCGCUUAAAUGGGGGAUUUGCGAAGAGAAAACGUGUGAUUUUCGCUUAAAUGGGGAUUCUCGAGGAGAAAAUGCGUGAUUUUUGGUUAAAAUGGGGAUUUGCGAAGAGAAAACGCGUUAUUUUCGGGUUAAAUGGGGGAUUCUCGAAGAGAAAACGCGUGAUUUUUGCUUAAAUGGGGGAUUUGCGAAGAGAAAACGCGUGAUUUUCGGGUUAAAUGGGGGAUUUGCGAAGAGAAAACGCGUGAUUUUCGGGUUAAAUGGGGGAUUUGCGAAGAGAAAACGCGUGGUUUUUGCUUAAAUGGGGGAUUUGCGAAGAGAAAACGCGUGAUUUUCGGGUUAAAUCGGGGAUUUGCGAAGAGAAAACGCGUGAUUUUCGGGUUAAAUGGGGGAUUUGCGAAGAGAAAACGCGUGAUUUUCGGUUAAAUGGGGGAUUUGCGAAGAGAAAACGCGUGAUUUUCGGUUAAAUGGGGGAUUUGCGAAGAGAAAACGCGUGGUUUUCCGGUUAAAUGGGGGAUUUGCGAAGAGAAAACGCGUGGUUUUCGGGUUAAAUGGGGGAUUUGCGAAGAGAAAACGCGUGAUUUUCGGGUUAAAUGGGGAUUUGCGAAGAGAAAACGCGUGAUUUUCGGGUUAAAUGGGGGAUUUGCGAAGAGAAAACGCGUGAUUUUCGGGUUAAAUGGGGGAUUUGCAAAGAGAAAACGCGUGAUUUUCCGGUUAAAUGGGGGAUUUGCGAAGAGAAAACGCGUGAUUUUCGCUUAAAUGGGGGAUUUGCGAAGAGAAAACGCGUGAUUUUCGGGUUAAAUGGGGGAUUUGCGAAGAGAAAAUGCGUGAUUUUUGGGUUAAAUGGGGGAUUUGCAAAGAGAAAACGCGUGAUUUUCGGGUUAAAUGGGGGAUUCUCAAAGAGAAAACGCGUGAUUUUCGCUUAAAUGGGGGAUUUGCGAAGAGAAAACGCGUGAUUUUCGCUUAAAUGGGGGAUUCUCGAAGAGAAAACGCGUGAUUUUUGGGUUAAAUGGGGGAUUUGCAAAGAGAAAACGCGUGAUUUUCGGGUUAAAUGGGGGAUUUGCGAAGAGAAAACGCGUGAUUUUCGCUUAAAUGGGGGAUUCUCAAAGAGGAAAACGCGUGAUUUUCGGCUUAAAUGGGGGAUUCUCGAAGAGAAAACGCGUGAUUUUCGCUUAAAUGGGGGAUUUGCGAAGAGAAAACGCGUGAUUUUCGGCUUAAAUGGGGGAUUCUCGAAGAGAAAACGCGUGAUUUUCGCUUAAAUCGGGGAUUUGCGAAGAGAAAACAGCGUGAUUUUCGGGUUAAAUGGGGGAUUUGCGAAGAGAAAACGCGUGAUUUUCGCUUAAAUGGGGGAUUUGCGAAGAGAAAACGCGUGAUUUUUGCUUAAAUGGGGGAUUGCGAAGAGAAAACGCGUGAUUUUCGCUUAAAUGGGGGAUUCUCGAAGAGAAAACGCGUGAUUUUCGCUUAAAUGGGGGAUUUGCGAAGAGAAAACGCGUGAUUUUCGGCUUAAAUGGGGGAUUCUCGAAGAGAAAACGCGUGAUUUUCGCUUAAAUGGGGGAUUUGCGAAGAGAAAACGCGUGAUUUUCGGCUUAAAUGGGGGAUUCUCGAAGAGAAAACGCGUGAUUUUCGCUUAAAUGGGGGAUUUGCGAAGAGAAAACGCGUGAUUUUCGCUUAAAUGGGGGAUUCUCGAAGAGAAAACGCGUGAUUUUCGCUUAAAUGGGGGAUUUGCGAAGAGAAAACGCGUGAUUUUCGCUUAAAUGGGGGAUUUGCGAAGAGAAAACGCGUGAUUUUCGCUUAAAUGGGGGAUUCUCGAAGAGAAAACGCGUGAUUUUCGGGUUAAAAUGGGGGAUUCUCGAAGAGAAAACGCGUGAUUUUCGCUUAAAUGGGGGAUUUGCGAAGAGAAAAACGCGUGAUUUUCGGUUAAAUGGGGGAUUUGCGAAGAGAAAACGCGUGAUUUUCGCUUAAAUGGGGGAUUUGCAAAGAGAAAACGCGUGAUUUUCGCUUAAAUGGGGGAUUUGCAAAGAGAAAACGCGUGAUUUUCGGUUAAAUGGGGGAUUUGCGAAGAGAAAACGCGUGAUUUUUGCUUAAAUGGGAGAUUUGCGAAGAGAAAACGCGUGAUUUUCGGUUAAAUCGGGGGAUUUGCUGAAGAGAAAACACGUGAUUUUCGGGUUAAAUGGGGGAUUUGCAAAGAGAAAACGCGUGAUUUUCGCUUAAAUGGGGGAUUUGCGAAGAGAAAACGCGUGAUUUUUGGUUAAAUGGGGGAUUUGCGAAGAGAAAAUGCGUGAUUUUAAGUUAAAGUGGGGAUUCUAAAGAGGAAACGCGUGAUUUUCGGGUUAAAUGGGGGAUUUGCGAAGAGAAAACGCGUGAUUUUCGCUUAAAUGGGGGAUUUGCGAAGAGAAAAUACCUGAUUUUCGGGUUAAAUGGGGGAUUCUCAAAGAGAAAACGCGUGAUUUUCGGGUUAAAUGGGGGAUUUGCGAAGAGAAAACGCGUGAUUUUUGGUUAAAUGGGGGAUUUGCGAAGAGAAAACACGUGAUUUUUGCUUAAAUGGGGGAUUUGCGAAGAGAAAACGCGUGAUUUUCACUUAAAUGGGGGAUUUGCGAAGAGAAAACGCGUGAUUUUCGGGUUAAAUGGGGGAUUUGCGAAGAGAAAACUAUGUGAUUUUUGGUUAAAUGGGGGAUUUGCGAAGAGAAAACGCGUGAUUUUCGGCUUAAAUGGGGGAUUUGUGAAGAGAAAACGCGUGAUUUUCGGGUUAAAUGGGGGAUUUGCGAAGAGAAAACGCGUGAUUUUUGCUUAAAUGGGGGAUUUGCGAAGAGAAAACGCGUGAUUUUCGGGUUAACUGGGGGAUUUGCGAAGAGAAAACGCGUGAUUUUCGCUUAAAUGGGGGAUUUGCGAAGAGAAAACGCGGGAUUUUCGCUUAAAUGGGGGAUUUGCGAAGAGAAAAAUGCGUGAUUUUCACUUAAAUGGGGGAUUUGCGAAGAGAAAACGCGUGAUUUUCAGUUAAAUGGGGGAUGUGCGAAGAGAAAACGCGUGAUUUUCAGUUAAAUGGGGGAUGUGCGAAGAGAAAAUGCGUGAUUUUCCCUUAAAUGGGGGAUUCUCGAAGAGAAAACGCGUGAUUUUCGCUUAAAUGGAAGGAUUAUGCGAAGAGAAAACGCGUGAUUUUCGCUUAAAUGGGGGAUUUGCGAAGAGAAAACGUGUGAUUUUCGGGUUAAAUGGGGGAUUUGCGAAGAGAAAACGCGUGAUUUUCGCUUAAAUGGGGGAUUUGCGAAGAGAAAACGCGUGAUUUUUGCUUAAAUGGGGGAUUUGCGAAGAGAAAACGCGUGAUUUUUGGGUUAAAUGGGGGAUUUGCGAAGAGAAAACGCGUGAUUUUCGGGUUAAAUGGGGGAUUCUCGAAGAGAAAACGCAUGAUUUUUGCUUAAAUGGGGGAUUUGUGAAGAGAAAAUGCGUGACUUUUAAGUUAAAUGGGGGAUUCUCGAAGGAGAAAACGCGUGAUUUUUGCUUAAAUGGGGGAUUUGCGAAGAGAAAACGCGUGAUUUUCGCUUAAAUGGGGGAUUUGUGAAGAGAAAACGCGUGAUUUUCGGGUUAAAUGGGGGAUUUGCGAAGAGAAAACGCGUGAUUUUUGCUUAAAUGGGGGAUUUGCGAAGAGAAAACGCGUGAUUUUCGGGUUAACUGGGGGAUUUGCGAAGAGAAAACGCGUGAUUUUCGCUUAAAUGGGGGAUUUGCGAAGAGAAAACGCGGGAUUUUCGCUUAAAUGGGGGAUUCUGCGAAGAGAAAACGCGUGAUUUUCGCUUAAAUGGGGGAUUUGCGAAGAGAAAACGCGUGAUUUUCGCUUAAAUGGGGGAUUCUGCGAAGAGAAAACGCGUGAUUUUCGCUUAAAUGGGGAUUUGCGAAGAGAAAACGCGUGAUUUUCGCUUAAAUGGGGGAUUCUCGAAGAG
ensembl:lncRNA